rnacentral:rRNA from 2 species
CAGUCGAGCGGACAGAUGGGAGCUUGCUCCCUGAUGUUAGCGGCGGACGGGUGAGUAACACGUGGGUAACCUGCCUGUAAGACUGGGAUAACUCCGGGAAACCGGGGCUAAUACCGGAUGGUUGUUUGAACCGCAUGGUUCAAACAUAAAAGGUGGCUUCGGCUACCACUUACAGAUGGACCCGCGGCGCAUUAGCUAGUUGGUGAGGUAACGGCUCACCAAGGCAACGAUGCGUAGCCGACCUGAGAGGGUGAUCGGCCACACUGGGACUGAGACACGGCCCAGACUCCUACGGGAGGCAGCAGUAGGGAAUCUUCCGCAAUGGACGAAAGUCUGACGGAGCAACGCCGCGUGAGUGAUGAAGGUUUUCGGAUCGUAAAGCUCUGUUGUUAGGGAAGAACAAGUACCGUUCGAAUAGGGCGGUACCUUGACGGUACCUAACCAGAAAGCCACGGCUAACUACGUGCCAGCAGCCGCGGUAAUACGUAGGUGGCAAGCGUUGUCCGGAAUUAUUGGGCGUAAAGGGCUCGCAGGCGGUUUCUUAAGUCUGAUGUGAAAGCCCCCGGCUCAACCGGGGAGGGUCAUUGGAAACUGGGGAACUUGAGUGCAGAAGAGGAGAGUGGAAUUCCACGUGUAGCGGUGAAAUGCGUAGAGAUGUGGAGGAACACCAGUGGCGAAGGCGACUCUCUGGUCUGUAACUGACGCUGAGGAGCGAAAGCGUGGGGAGCGAACAGGAUUAGAUACCCUGGUAGUCCACGCCGUAAACGAUGAGUGCUAAGUGUUAGGGGGUUUCCGCCCCUUAGUGCUGCAGCUAACGCAUUAAGCACUCCGCCUGGGGAGUACGGUCGCAAGACUGAAACUCAAAGGAAUUGACGGGGGCCCGCACAAGCGGUGGAGCAUGUGGUUUAAUUCGAAGCAACGCGAAGAACCUUACCAGGUCUUGACAUCCUCUGACAAUCCUAGAGAUAGGACGUCCCCUUCGGGGGCAGAGUGACAGGUGGUGCAUGGUUGUCGUCAGCUCGUGUCGUGAGAUGUUGGGUUAAGUCCCGCAACGAGCGCAACCCUUGAUCUUAGUUGCCAGCAUUCAGUUGGGCACUCUAAGGUGACUGCCGGUGACAAACCGGAGGAAGGUGGGGAUGACGUCAAAUCAUCAUGCCCCUUAUGACCUGGGCUACACACGUGCUACAAUGGACAGAACAAAGGGCAGCGAAACCGCGAGGUUAAGCCAAUCCCACAAAUCUGUUCUCAGUUCGGAUCGCAGUCUGCAACUCGACUGCGUGAAGCUGGAAUCGCUAGUAAUCGCG